AUAUUAUUAGACUGUGCUGUUUUAUUUUAAAGCAAAAUGUAGGUUCGUUUUUCCCACUUGUCUAAUGUUUUUGACAUGUAAUCGUCAGAAACGCAAAUUUGUCUCCAGCUAGCCUGCCCCCCUGCCCCAUUUAGGAAAAUGCCUAAUUUUUUGGACCAGGCAUUUCGUUUCAGGUUUUAUGAAAAUAUGCUGAAAAACAGCACUUGAGGGGUGAAUAAUUGUGCUUUGAUAUACGACCACGUUAAAACAGCCUCAUUACUCUUAAUUUGGGUACCUACUGACUGGCACCUGGUGGUUAUUAUUAUAAUUUAUAUACAUAUUUAUAUAUUUAAUUUUCGUUCAUUUAUUCGUUCAAAUGGCUGGCAUCACAGACAGCCAAGGCUGUCAAACUCGUUGUGGCUAUUAUGUUUAUCAAGGGCUAACCUUUAAUAAUUUGAACACUGUUCAGUAACUGACAACUAUUUGGUCACUAAUUUAAUAUUUGUCUAAUACAUUUUAUAUUAUAUUUCAGGUAUGGAUUUAAGUCACGGUGUUUAUGUAUUAAAUUCUGGGUUGACCGGAUCUGAUUUUGUCAUUUGUGUCAUCGUUUCCCUUUUUAUAUGCCUCGAGUACAGCUGCAGUAGAUACCUCCUUCAGACAUGCAGCACAGGUUGUGAGGGUGGAUAGCCAGGAUCAAAGCAAGCAUCAACCAGAAGUUCAGCUGCUGACUACUUCAAUGCUGCUACACACUCCAUAGGAACUGGCUCAUCACACAAAGGACUCCAAACUCCUGCCAAGAAGUUCAGGAUUCAGACACAGAGGAAGGCAGCCUGUGCUGGUGUGGACACUUUGCAGCAGAGGACUAGAAUAUAGAUGAGAAUUUGGAGAGGAUGUUAUAAGUUUACUUACCUGUAUUUAAAUAUUCGUAUUGACAACAACUUUGUUCUUAUAUCUGAUCGCUGUUGGCCUAAGGGCUGCUAACUGACUAAGACCUUCAUAGCUUCUGAAAACUUCCAGUAUGAAGCAAGUUGUGUUUCAGUGUUGUGCGGUUGUAUGAACCAUGGGAUUAUGAUUUGUGAUACAUUUUGCAUAGUUGUCACAGUCAGUAUUUACCUACACAGGUCCCAUUUGAUAAUUCCAAUUGUACCUGCAUAUACUGGUGGUAUUUUGAACCCUCACUUGCAUCUGCCCCUCACCCUUCUCUAAAGAAAAGGAUUUCUUAGCCAGAUCACUAUAGGCUUGUUUUUAAUCUGUUAUUAAUAUAGAAAUGAUAGAUUAUGAAUUCCCCAAUCUGUGAAGUUAAGAUAAUGAUGAAUUAUUGCUUGGAUAAACAUGCAGCAUUACAUGAUGCUGAUAGGAUCAUGUUGGCAAAGUGUAAAACAAUACAGGCCUCACUGAAUGUCA